UCUCCGUUGGUGAACCAGCGGAGGGAUCAUUGCUGGAACGCGCUUCGGCGCACCCAGAAACCCUUUGUGAACUUAUACCUAUCUGUUGCCUCGGCGCAGGCCGGCUUCUUCACUGAAGCCCCCUGGAGACAGGGAGCAGCCCGCCGGCGGCCAACUAAACUCUUGUUUCUACAGUGAAUCUCUGAGUAAAAAACAUAAAUGAAUCAAAACUUUCAACAACGGAUCUCUUGGUUCUGGCAUCGAUGAAGAACGCAGCGAAAUGCGAUAAGUAAUGUGAAUUGCAGAAUUCAGUGAAUCAUCGAAUCUUUGAACGCACAUUGCGCCCUCUGGUAUUCCGGAGGGCAUGCCUGUUCGAGCGUCAUUUCAACCCUCAAGCCUGGCUUGGUGAUGGGGCACUGCCUGUAAAAGGGCAGGCCCUGAAAUCUAGUGGCGAGCUCGCCAGGACCCCGAGCGUAGUAGUUAUAUCUCGCUUUGGAAGGCCCUGGCGGUGCCCUGCCGUUAAACCCCCAACUUCUGAAAAUUUGACCUCGGAUCAGGUAGGAAUACCCGCUGAACUUAA
rnacentral:rRNA from 1 species